CCUACGGGAGGCAGCAGUGAGGAAUAUUGGUCAAUGGACGAGAGUCUGAACCAGCCAAGUAGCGUGAAGGAUGACUGCCCUAUGGGUUGUAAACUUCUUUUAUAUGGGAAUAAAAUGUUCCACGUGUGGGAUUUUGUAUGUACCAUAUGAAUAAGGAUCGGCUAACUCCGUGCCAGCAGCCGCGGUAAUACGGAGGAUCCGAGCGUUAUCCGGAUUUAUUGGGUUUAAAGGGAGCGUAGGUGGAUUGUUAAGUUAGUUGUGAAAGUUUGCGGCUCAACCGUAAAAUUGCAGUUGAAACUGGCAGUCUUGAGUACAGUAGAGGUGGGCGGAAUUCGUGGUGUAGCGGUGAAAUGCUUAGAUAUGACGAAGAACUCCGAUUGCGAAGGCAGUUCACUGGACUGCAACUGACGCUGAGGCUCGAAAGUGUGGGUAUCAAACAGGAUUAGAUACCCUUGUAGUC
rnacentral:rRNA from 1 species